GCUCCUUUUGAGGAGAGGAGGUGUGAUACAGGUCCCACAGCCGUGCGGAAAAUGAGACUCUGUUAUGCUUGCAAGACAGGUCUUAAUUACAAAGUGAAAAUUGUUAUUUCAUAUUAAAGUGGUGGGAGAAGAUAUAUGAAAGCCGAGGAAAUAUUCAGUAACUGCUGAAAAGGACACACAACACCCAGACACAAGGAGAUGUCUCAUUAAUUACUUGCUUUAGUCCCCUUUGGGCUCAGAACACAUCAGCAAUAGAAUUACUUUUGUUAUCAUCUGUGGGUUCUGUUUUGACUAAGCUUUGUGUUUUCUAUUUAUACAUUAAUGGUUUUUGACAUGUUUCCUUUUGGUGUGGGAAUUAAUUACCUACAAUUUAUCUAGAGACUGUACUUAAUCCACAUGUCAAUCAUUCACGUUUUGUGGUGUUUCACAGACAGCAGAAAUAAGGACUACUGAGAAUGGAGCAAUCCUGCCAGCCUAUGUGGAGUCAUUCAGGGCUGCAGCUGUUAGUUACCAGCCCAAGUAGGUUUGAAGAAAUGGCCAUUAAUAGGAUUGCCCACAGAUUGCAGAGGGACAGACUUUGUGUUCAGCCUUGUGUGGCAGAUCAGCACUGCGCUAACUUCUUAGCUGGAAAAGCACUCUGCAAAUAUCCACUGCCUGAAGGAUGCAGAUGGGACAGCAAGGAUGCCAAGCCCCUGAGACAACUUAAUCCAAUCCAAUACAGGCACUACACACCAAAUUCCUACUUGAUAUAUUACACUGGCACAAAGAAAAUCCCUGACUGUGAGAAAGAGCAAGGGCUGAGGAAUAAUACAGAUGUCAUUUCUGGCAUGAAGAAACAUUUUUUAAACUUUUAGAACUGAUUGGAUUUUCACUGCUAACAUUUCUGCCAGACUUCCUUUCAACAAAGUAUCAAGACUAGGAUGGAGUAUUUCAUAGAAUACUUGCAGAGGAGACAGAAUGGUUGGAUCUGCCUUCACUUUGCUCUUAAAUUAAGAUUAAAGGGGGGAAAGGGAAGGCAUAAGAGCCAUUUCAGUGAUUAGAUUCACCCAUGGAAUAGCUCAACAUGACAUUAAUUCGUAGACAGAUGAUUAGGUGGUUUGCAGUCCUGUGCUGAAGGACGUGGCUGUGGUCAGGAUGUGGUCCAAGUUUGGGGGAUGGUUUGGGAGACAGGGUGAUUCUAUAGAGUAGCAGCAAGGAUUUUUUUCAUAAACUUCAAAAGAAGCCUGGAAGUCAGACUGCAGGUAGCAUUUGUUCCCUGGAGUCUUCUGGUUAGGCUGUUUAUUAUGAAGAGCUCCUUAGUCAAAAAGAGACAAGGGUAUUGGUCUUGCAGGUCAACAGCAAUUUGCAGAAUAUAUAAAUUGUUAAAAAUGAAAGGUGCAGACAUAAAACUGAGUGCUCUUAAUAACAAAAGGAUUGAAGUACUGGAAUGCGGGCUCCAUUUUACCUCUGCUAUGCUUUUCUCUCUCUACUUUGAUCUUUCCAACUAUUUUUUUAAUGCAAAUAUCUACACUAUUAAGGGCCAUCCACACAAAAUGCAGUCACUGGUUCUUGAAGAUUUUUCUAUGAAGGUUUUUCACAAAUAGACCAGAAAUGUGAUAUCUGAUGUUUUGUGAACUAACACAUUAUAUUUUUGGUUCCUAUGAUUCAUCAAACUAGUUUGAGUGAAUGGACAUUUUUACCCUGUAAUUUAAACUGAAGGAUAUUGAAAGGCAGCUGAAAUUUUCCUCAGCUAAUAAGAAGUCUCUUUUCUGUGAACAUUGGAAGAAACCUGCUCAAAAAUGCAAACUGUGAUGACGGUUUUUCUAUAGAGCAAGUGCAGACGCAUUAAAUGUAUUUUUUUUUCCUUUCAAACUCCUUAUGCUUUUAAAUGAAUUCAAAGAUUUUUUUUCAAACUUGCAAGACUGUGUGGGUUUAAAAGCAACCAAGACACAUAGCCCAGUCCUAACUGAGACCUUUGUUAGGGCAGAAUCUAGUAAAGUGAGCUAACAAUUUGCAAUACAUUGGCUGUCACUUCAAAUGUCAGUGAUAAUUUGCAAAACACUCAGAGCAAUAAUAGAAAAAGGCAUAAAACGUCAAAUUUGUAGCAUAGCUGACAACAAAAAGAAUAUUCACUGUGAAUUACAGUCUUCCUGACUUGCUAAAGCUCUUACUGAUUUUGCUUUAAUAAAGGAUAUUCUCCUCUCAAGGGAUUUAAAUACAGUAGAUUAUCUAACAUGCUUAACUGAUGCUUGAAGUUCCCUAUCUGAAAGCUUAUCCUUGAUGACUGGGAAAUCUGUGAUCUCUUGCAAACGUGUUUGGGAGUGUGACUGGUCAGUUUGGUGGAUCUGUUAUCUGGAUAGGUACAGAUUUGGUCAAGGACCCCCAACAUUCCCUUGUAUUGAAAAGCUAGUGGCUAUUCCUUUUUUGUGGGUGUCUUUUUUUGGAAAAGGCAUUAGCUCCUGCUGUUUUGCAGCUCCUAGAGAAGAUGAAAAUGUUCAGAAUGGAAAACAUCCACAAAAAAAAACUCAGAAAUGUAUAUAUUGAUCGAAAGUCAUACAUAUGCUUAAUGGAAAUGAAAGCUUCAGAGUACAAAAAUAACAACUCUGCUUUCCAAAAACCUGUGCCAGUUGCUAAAAAUUUUUAAAUGAACCAUUACACCUUGAGAUACAUUGGAUGUGCACAGGCUGGAUUGCAGUCCUGGGUCAUUAGGAGUUCAAAUAGCCUGGCUCACAGCAGGACCUGGGAAAGCCAGACCAUUUUAUCUAAUCCUUAUUGAAAGGGUAAGAGGGAAAACAGGGAGCUAAACUACAUGACAGACGGGAUCUAUAAAAUGAAGUGUUAGGCAAAAGGAUUAAGAGGAAGCACUAGAAAACUGUGCAUGGAAUACAAUGCAAGUUGGAUGCAGAGAGAAUACCAAAAAGUCAAUCUGAGAGCUACAAUAAAGGUGGAUAAGAAAUCUCUAGUAACAUGGUACAUGGUGUAUAUUAACUACCCUAGAAUUUAUCAAGCCUCUUUGACCUCUUGCAUCUCCCAGGCAAGGCCCCACAUUGUCUUGACUAGAACCCAAGUUUUCUCAAUUUGACAUCCCAGAUAUUUGCAGACUUGCUAUAGUAAAAAAGCAAGUUACUGCUGUGCAAUCCCUGAGGUUUCACCUCCUCUGUGACUUCUUUAACACCUUGGACCCCACAACCUGUUAGAAAAGGGUCUCUGCUUCAGAGCAACCAAAUCUAGGCUGAGUCCCAGAGCCUUGGGAGAACCUCUGCAAAAACCCCCAUUGCUCUGUCACAACAGGGCAGUGUCUUUGCCCCCAGCAAAUAGGGGCAGCUCAAUAGGCCACCAUCACAAUGAAUUUUUAGUAUACACUUGAGCUGAACCCCAUUUAACAAAAGUAGGGCUACCAUCAUCUUUCUGUCCAUGUCCGUGGCUCUGCUUUUCUUUGCACUGCCUCUAGGGCUUGUAUGACUCUGUGCAGAGCUAAUCCAGCUCAUUAACCCCAAAUAAAACUAUUGACUUUCCUAGCAAAUGAAUGCAUUGCUGAAGGGACAACCCCCCUCCCAACAGCUCAAAUGGAUGCAGGACCUUCCUUUUCAACAGCAAGGAGAACAGAUCACCUCAAGCUGAGGUGAUUUAUCCAUAGGGAACUCUUCCCAUGGGCUAAUUUACACCUGUACUUUGCCUACUGCACAAAAUGGAGUCCUUAUUACAAAAUUACCUUCUCAGUUUUGUACAGACACAUUCCACAGCUUCUUCAUUAAGAAAUCUGGUCUCAGAACAUGCAUAAAAGAUCUCAUUUUUAUGGUAAAUAUUUCUACCCUGUACUUCUGAAAAGAAAGAAAAAAUAUAAUGUAUUAAUAUUACAUGAGGAAGAUGAAUUAUCUUUCUAUCCAUUGACACCUCUGUAGGAUGAGAAUGGCACUGCUGUUUUUCAAUCAGCAGUCUCUAUGGCACCUGGGUAUCCAAAGAUCCUUAAAGAGUAGGAGACUUCCAGCCUUCUUAUGUUAAUUUUUAACAGCUCUCUUUACAGCUAAUAUUCAAAGAAUGAAAGGAAAGCUCAUGUUCUUCCAAGAAUCAAUCAGAAUGACCAAAGUAAUAACAGACCCGGCAUCCUUGGUAAUCCUAGACAAAACAAUCAUGUUAUGUAAAUUAAAGCAGUCAUGCAUGUGUGAUUCAAUCAAUAAAGAGUUAAAGCAAGUCCACAUGGCCUUAUGGAAACAAGACUUGACAAGCAGGCCUGACUUCAGUUUUUGAUGCGAUUACAGGUUUGUUUGAUCAAGGUAACCACAUGGAUGUGAUAGACUUGGACCUUCCUAAUGAAUCUGAUUUAGUACUGCUUGACAUUUUGAUUAAAACAUUAGCAUUAUAUAGCCUUAAUAAAAGACAUUAAAUAGAUUAAGAUCUGGCUAAUUGAUAGAGUUCAGCAAGCUGUUCUAACCAGAUAUUCAGCACCGACUGGGGAUAUUUUUAGUGGAGCUCUGCAGGCAGGAACACUAUGCUUGCUGCCUGCCAUUCGAUGUUCUGGAAUUACACAGAAACAUGGGCAACACUGGCAAAUAUCCCACAGUGUAAUGAGGAAUAGGUAUCUGUGCAAAGUCUCAGUUUUGCCUGCAUUGGCAUAGAUGUGUUUCUGGUAUUUGAUUACAUCUUUUUCCUUCAUUUCCCUAGAGGCACAGAAGUUCUUUGUCAGUGUGUAGUUGCAAGGCUGUGGUCUAGACUGCUGUGGUGGGCAUACAGUGAUUUCUCUCAAGAGUCAUUGCUUUUAACUGCUAACACAUGGAUUAUCAAAGGGGCUCACAUGAAUCACUUAAAAAGUGUCAACUGUGAAACCAUCACUUACUGCACACUUCUGCAUGUAUUUUUUCUUAACUACCAAAAAUAUGACCUGAGAUUAAAAUAUGUUUGCAGCUUUGAAAAGUCAUGAAACUCUAGUCCACAG
ensembl:lncRNA